ACACUAGUGUAGAUUAUACUCAAAGUGGUCAGUAUAUUACAGAUGAGGGCAUAUUCCUAUUCAGCUUUCAGGGCAAGAUCCCUGUGUGUAUCAAAGUUAACAGUGGAUGUUAUGCACGUGUCGAUGACGCUGGUGUGCCCAACUUUGGCCAACAGUUGUACUUUUGCUACAACAACCAACCAGUAGUCUAUAAUUCUGGAAGCAAUGCAUUCAGUCUUAACACAGCAACAAUGUAUGGAAAUGAUACUCAACUGAGUGAAUGUGAGGUGUACAAAGUGGAGCAAAGCUCUGCAGUCAGUACUGAGGAGAAGCCUUGGAGGAACGUUCUGUGGACAGCCGAACGAAGAGACGAGCUCAUGGGAUUG